UGUAAUAUGGAUUCUCACUUCUUUUCUUAUAUGCAAUCCUAAGUUAAAAUACAGAUCAAAUUCGCCCUUGAACUAUUUAUGAUUGAUCAAAAUUUGUACAUUUACUGUUACCGUUAGUCCAUAAGGACUAUUCAUUCCAAUUUGGUAUCGAAAAUUAAAGAACGUGAACAAAACUUUUUAACUGAGGGCAAAGUUGCUCACACCAAGCCGUGAGCUUUGCUGGUGGAUAUUUGGCCGGUAUUCUAUGAUGUUGCACAAAUUCAUUUUCUCUUAAUCCUUGGAGACAUUAGUUAAUCACUUUCAUAAAGAGAGCUUGCAACUGGCUUAUACAUAUCAUUUUGUUGACAUAUUCAAUCUUCUUGAUAAAGAGUGGUGAUGGAAGCAUAAAGAGGGUGAAGGUUGAGCAAGAAGUGGAUCAAAGAGUGGUUGGUGAUGCUUAAAUGGAAGAGAGGUGUACAACUACAAUUCCAAAGAAGGAUAUGACUACUAUAUCCAAGGAAACCACUAUAGGAAGUACAUCAACAAUGGAUACUAGACCUGAAAUUUUGCAUCGAGCUUCAUGAAGAAAUGCACGAAAUGAAGAUUAAAGAGGGAAAAACUGAUAGUUUAGACGACACUUUAAAGACUGAUUUUUGAAUAUGUAUAUCUGGAUUUUGAGUAUUUCAAUACUGUUGAGAAGAAAAGCAGAAAUUGAACAGCUCGGCUUAUGGUACAAAUAUUAUUACAUCAUGUAUUUAACAAGGCUCCAAAAACUGAUUGGAAUAUGUCGGCAAGUCUUCGUUGGAGAGUGAUUGUACUCCUAAAAUAAACAAAGGAUUGCGGCAUAUUCUCAUGUGUAAGUGAUACAUAAAGUAUAUGUAUUUUCUUCUCUCUAUGUUGUGUCUUUUCUUGAAUAAUAUUUUCCUUAUUUUGAUCGGGUGAUUUAAUGCUUGCAAGUAGUAAUAUCU